GUGGGGAAUUUUGGACAAUGGGCGCAAGCCUGAUCCAGCAAUGCCGCGUGCAGGAAGAAGGCCUUCGGGUUGUAAACUGCUUUUGUACGGAACGAAAAGGCUCUGGUUAAUACCUGGGGCUCAUGACGGUACCGUAAGAAUAAGCACCGGCUAACUACGUGCCAGCAGCCGCGGUAAUACGUAGGGUGCGAGCGUUAAUCGGAAUUACUGGGCGUAAAGCGUGCGCAGGCGGUUUUGUAAGACAGGCGUGAAAUCCCCGGGCUCAACCUGGGAAUGGCGCUUGUGACUGCAAAGCUGGAGUGCGGCAGAGGGGGAUGGCAUUCCGCGUGUAGCAGUGAAAUGCGUAGAUAUGCGGAGGAACACCGAUGGCGAAGGCAAUCCCCUGGGCCUGCACUGACGCUCAUGCACGAAAGCGUGGGGAGCAAACAGGAUUAGAUACCCCUGUAGUCC
rnacentral:rRNA from 1 species